UGGGGAAUAUUGGACAAUGGGGGCAACCCUGAUCCAGCAAUGCCGCGUGGAUGAAGAAGGUUUUCGGAUUGUAAAGUCCUUUCGGCGGGGACGAUGAUGACGGUACCCGCAGAAGAAGCCCCGGCUAACUUCGUGCCAGCAGCCGCGGUAAUACGAAGGGGGCUAGCGUUGCUCGGAAUGACUGGGCGUAAAGGGCGCGUAGGCGGUUUGUUUCGUUAGGCGUGAAAUUCCUGGGCUCAACCUGGGGACUGCGCUUAAGACAAGCAGACUGGAGUGUGAAAGAGGGUCGUGGAAUUCCCAGUGUAGAGGUGAAAUUCGUAGAUAUUGGGAAGAACACCGGUGGCGAAGGCGGCGACCUGGUUCAUUACUGACGCUGAGGCGCGAAAGCGUGGGGAGCAAACAGGAUUAGAUACCCCCGUAGUCC
rnacentral:rRNA from 1 species